UACGUAGGGUGCAAGCGUUGUCCGGAAUUAUUGGGCGUAAAGAGCUUGUAGGCGGUUUGUCGCGUCUGCUGUGAAAUCUCAAGGCUCAACCUUGAGCUUGCAGUGGGUACGGGCAGACUAGAGUGUGGUAGGGGAGACUGGAGUUCCUGGUGUAGCGGUGAAGUGCGCAGAUAUCAGGAGGAACACCGAUGGCGAAGGCAGGUCUCUGGGCCACUACUGACGCUGAGAAGCGAAAGCAUGGGGAGCGAACAGG
rnacentral:rRNA from 1 species